rnacentral:rRNA from 1 species
UACGGAGGGUGCGAGCGUUAAUCGGAAUUACUGGGCGUAAAGAGCGUGUAGGCGGUUUGGUAGGUCCGUUGUGAAAACUCGAGGCUCAACCUCGAGACGCCGGCGGAAACCAUCAGGCUAGAGUCCGGAAGAGGAGAGUGGAAUUCCUGGUGUAGCGGUGAAAUGCGCAGAUAUCAGGAAGAACACCCGUGGCUAAGGCGGCUCUCUAGUACGGUACUGACGCUGAGACGCGAAAGCGUGGGGAGCGAACAGG